AUUUUGAUUCUGAUAGUCUCAAUGAUGUUUCAGGUCCAACAUAUUUUCCUAGAAGCAGUGAUUAUUCAUUUCCUAUUUGAUUAUACAAAUAAGACAUAUUCUUUUUUUUUUCUUUUGUGGUGCUGGGGUUGAACCCAGGGCCUCCUGCAAGUUGGGCAAACACUCUUCCACUGAGCUGCAUUGACAGCUCCAUAGAUCCUUUAGUUAUCAUUAGCUUCAUGACUAGCUAUAGUGAUAAUAAAAUUAUGUAGAAGUUCUACUGAAUUUGGAAACAUUCAAGAGUCUGGACAUCCAAAAAUUUCUUGUGAUUUCUAGAAAGUAGAGUAUUUUUUUUUCAUAACACAACAGCAUCUAAGAUCAGGCAUGGACAGAGCUGCCACCUGUGCUCCUUGUAUCUCACCAUUUUCUUCAGAAUGUCAUGGAGGCAAUGAACCUUGGUGUUGUUUUAAACUCUACUGCUCUCAAGGCCACAAUCAUGGUUGCCAAUCUUGUUAACUUCUUUCUUUUCAUUCAAGAGCUUGGGCAUCUGAUAGUUCCUUGUGAUUUGUAGAAGGUAGAAUGUUUUCCCACAACACAGAAGCAUCUAAAUCACUCUUAGCCUGACUGCCACCUGUGCUUCUGCGCUCACCACCUCUUGCUGAGCAUCACCGGUGUCCUUUUAAACUCCUCUGCCCAGAAGGUGUUAUUCAUCAUCAUCACCAGUGCUGUUACCUUUUUCUUUCUUUCUUUUUUUUUUUGAUUAUCUGUCCAGGGCAAAUAUUUUAUUUUAUUACUGCUAAAGGGUCUGCAUAGAAACAAAAUAAAGAAAAGGAGUCUUUGGGAUAAGUAAUCCAAAGUCAAAGUGAGUCAAUUUGCCAUUGGAAUGUAUAUUUUUAUGAAGCCACUCUUUUGAUCAAAUUCAGCCAUGAGUUGAAAUAGAAUCUCUAAAAUGUUAUUUUUUCCUCUAGUCUAAAGUGAUCAAAUUUUAGAAGGACCUAGUUACAGCAUAAAAAUGUAACAAGUUUUACUUUGGAAAGAAUAUAACAAGUUUAACAAAGUUACAUCAACACAGAACAUAAAAGAGGCAUUUGUCUUGAAUUAAAUAUUAGCUUGAAUUAUUUGAUUUUUUGUUUUAUAAUAAAUUUUGUGUUCAUAAUAAAAUACUGUCAUUUACCAGUAAUUAACUAUAUAAAUAAUUAAACAAAUAGGUGUUUCUGAAAAAUGUAACCAUGUUUAAGGUUUUAUUUCAGUAUUUUUAUCUUUAUACAGAAAUUUCAAAGAAAGUGCAACAAUUUCCCAAGUAACCUCAAUCUGAUUUUCCCCUUGUGAUGACUUAUGUGCACUAUCUCAGAUGUGUUAACAUCUGAAACCAUUUGUCAUGAAGAACAAAUACUGGUGUGCUACAAUUAACUGAAGUUGUAUUUACUUUGGAUUCUAAAUUCUGCCUCUUCCUGUUCCAAGACCCCAUUUAGGACUCCAAAUAAUGUCC
rnacentral:lncRNA from 1 species